AUUAAACGCUGGCGGCAUGCUUUACACAUGCAAGUCGAACGGUAACAGGCCUUCUGGUGCUGACGAGUGGCGAACGGGUGAGUAAUGCAUCGGAACGUACCCAGAGGUGGGGGAUAACGCAGCGAAAGCUGUGCUAAUACCGCAUGUGAUCUGAGGAUGAAAGCGGGGGACCGAGCAGCAAUGUUUGGCCUCGCGCCUUUGGAGCGGCCGAUGUCGGAUUAGCUAGUUGGUGGGGUAAAGGCCUACCAAGGCGACGAUCCGUAGCUGGUCUGAGAGCACGACUCGGCACACUGGGAGUGAGAAACGGCACAGACUCCGACAGGAGGCAGCAGUGGGGAAUUUUGGACAAUGGGGGCAAGCCUGAUCCAGCAAUGCCGCGUGCGGGAAGAAGGCCUUCGGGUUGUAAACCGCUUUUGGCAGGAACGAAACGGUGUCCGCUAAUACCGGGCGCUAAUGACGGUACCUGCAGAAUAAGCACCGGCUAACUACGUG
rnacentral:rRNA from 1 species